CCUAAGGCCCAUGCAUAAAGGCCCAAAGCCCAUAAAGCCCACGAAGCCCAUCUCUAAAAUCUAUAAAUAGAGGUGUUGGGAGCUCAUAAAUGACAACGUGAAGGAGUGGAAGAUCGAAGAGCACAAAGAAUUCUCUCUAGUAUCACAAGUAGAAGAGGCGGAGAAUUGGAGAGUUCAAGUAUUCUUCCAAGUAUUCAAGUAUCUUGAAGAAUUCUAUCUAACGUUCAAGUCUCCUUCAAAUCUUCAAUCGUUUGAGUAUUCAAAUCUUCAAGUAUCCUUCGAAUCUUCAAGUAUUUGAGCAUUCAAAUCUUCAAGUAUCCUUCAAA
rnacentral:lncRNA from 1 species